GAUCCUGCCGGAGGCCACUGCUAUGGGGGUCCGACUAAGCCAUGCGAGUCAUGGGGCGCCUUGCGCGCACCGGCGGACGGCUCAGUAACACGUCGGUAACCUACCCUCGGGAGGGGGAUAACCCCGGGAAACUGGGGCUAAUCCCCCAUAGGCCUGAGGUACUGGAAGGUCCUCAGGCCGAAAGGGGCUCUGCCCGCCCGAGGAUGGGCCGGCGGCCGAUUAGGUAGUUGGUGGGGUAACGGCCCACCAAGCCGAAGAUCGGUACGGGCCAUGAGAGUGGGAGCCCGGAGAUGGACACUGAGACACGGGUCCAGGCCCUACGGGGCGCAGCAGGCGCGAAACCUCCGCAAUGCGGGCAACCGCGACGGGGGGACCCCCAGUGCCGUGGCAACGCCACGGCUUUUCCGGAGUGUAAAAAGCUCCGGGAAUAAGGGCUGGGCAAGGCCGGUGGCAGCCGCCGCGGUAAUACCGGCGGCCCGAGUGGUGGCCGCUAUUAUUGGGCCUAAAGCGUCCGUAGCCGGGCCCGUAAGUCCCUGGCGAAAUCCCACGGCUCAACCGUGGGGCUUCGUGGGGAUACUGCGGGCCUUGGGACCGGGAGAGGCCGGGGGUACCCCUGGGGUAGGGGUGAAAUCCUAUAAUCCCAGGGGGACCGCCAGUGGCGAAGGCGCCCGGCUGGAACGGGUCCGACGGUGAGGGACGAAGGCCAGGGGAGCGAACCGGAUUAGAUACCCGGGUAGUCCUGGCUGUAAAGGAUGCGGGCUAGGUGUCGGGCGAGCUUCGAGCUCGCCCGGUGCCGAAGGGAAGCCGUUAAGCCCGCCGCCUGGGGAGUACGGCCGCAAGGCUGAAACUUAAAGGAAUUGGCGGGGGAGCACUACAAGGGGUGGAGCGUGCGGUUUAAUUGGAUUCAACGCCGGGAACCUCACCGGGGGCGACGGCAGGAUGAAGGCCAGGCUGAAGGUCUUGCCGGACACGCCGAGAGGAGGUGCAUGGCCGCCGUCAGCUCGUACCGUGAGGCGUCCACUUAAGUGUGGUAACGAGCGAGACCCGCGCCCCCAGUUGCCAGUCCUCCCCGCUGGGGAGGAGGCACUCUGGGGGGACCGCCGGCGAUAAGCCGGAGGAAGGAGCGGGCGACGGUAGGUCAGUAUGCCCCGAAACCCCCGGGCUACACGCGCGCUACAAUGGGCGGGACAAUGGGAUCCGACCCCGAAAGGGGAAGGGAAUCCCCUAAACCCGCCCCCAGUUCGGAUCGCGGGCUGCAACUCGCCCGCGUGAAGCUGGAAUCCCUAGUACCCGCGUGUCAUCAUCGCGCGGUGAAUACGUCCCUGCUCCUUGCACACACCGCCCGUCACUCCACCCGAGCGGGGUCCGGAUGAGGCCUGAUCUCCCUUCGGGGAGGUCGGGUCGAGUCUGGGCUCCGUGAGGGGGGAG
rnacentral:rRNA from 1 species